rnacentral:rRNA from 1 species
AGCUACAGGCUUAACACAUGCAAGUCGAGGGGCAGCAUGGUCUUAGCUUGCUAAGGCCGAUGGCGACCGGCGCACGGGUGAGUAACACGUAUCCAACCUGCCGUCUACUCUUGGACAGCCUUCUGAAAGGAAGAUUAAUACAAGAUGGCAUCAUGAGUCCACAUGUUCACAUGAUUAAAGGUAUUCCGGUAGACGAUGGGGAUGCGUUCCAUUAGAUAGUAGGCGGGGUAACGGCCCACCUACUCUUCGAUGGAUAGGGGUUCUGAGAGGAAGGUCCCCCACAUUGGAACUGAGACACGGUCCAAACUCCUACGGGAGGCAGCAGUGAGGAAUAUUGGUCAAUGGGCGAGAGCCUGAACCAGCCAAGUAGCGUGAAGGAUGACUGCCCUAUGGGUUGUAAACUUCUUUUAUAAAGGAAUAAAGUCGGGUAUGCAUACCCGUUUGCAUGUACUUUAUGAAUAAGGAUCGGCUAACUCCGUGCCAGCAGCCGCGGUAAUACGGAGGAUCCGAGCGUUAUCCGGAUUUAUUGGGUUUAAAGGGAGCGUAGAUGGAUGUUUAAGUCAGUUGUGAAAGUUUGCGGCUCAACCGUAAAAUUGCAGUUGAUACUGGAUAUCUUGAGUGCAGUUGAGGCAGGCGGAAUUCGUGGUGUAGCGGUGAAAUGCUUAGAUAUCACGAAGAACUCCGAUUGCGAAGGCAGCCUGCUAAGCUGCAACUGACAUUGAGGCUCGAAAGUGUGGGUAUCAAACAGGAUUAGAUACCCUGGUAGUCCACACGGUAAACGAUGAAUACUCGCUGUUUGCGAUAUACUGCAAGCGGCCAAGCGAACGCGUUAUGUAUUCCACGUGGAGAGUACGCCGGCAACGGUGAAUCUCAAAGGAAUUGACGGGGGCCCGCACAAGCGGAGGAACAUGUGGUUUAAUUAGAUGAUACGCGAGGCACCUUACCCGGGCUCAAAUCGCAGAUGAAUUACGGUGAAAGCUGUAAGCCGCAAGGCAUCUGUGAAGGUGCUGCAUGGUUGUCGUCAGCUCGUGCCGUGAGGUGUCGGCUUAAGUGCCAUAACGAGCGCAACCCUUGUUGUCAGUUACUAACAGGUUCCGCUGAGGACUCUGACAAGACUGCCAUCGUAAGAUGUGAGGAAGGUGGGGAUGACGUCAAAUCAGCACGGCCCUUACGUCCGGGGCUACACACGUGUUACAAUGGGGGGUACAGAGGGCCGCUACCACGCGAGUGGAUGCCAAUCCCAAAAACCUCUCUCAGUUCGGACUGGAGUCUGCAACCCGACUCCACGAAGCUGGAUUCGCUAGUAAUCGCGCAUCAGCCACGGCGCGGUGAAUACGUUCCCGGGCCUUGUACACACCGCCCGUCAAGCCAUGGGAGCCGGGGGUACCUGAAGUGCGUAACCGCGAGGAGCGCCCUAGGGUAAAACUGGUGACUGGGGCU